rnacentral:misc_RNA from 1 species
GGAAACAACAAAAGAUCUACCAAUCUACAAAGAGAUAUCCAAAUAUGAUAAAAAUUAUACAUGACUAAAUAAAAAAUAGAAAAUAUACCUUCUGACUAGCUGAUAUAGAAAACCAAAAGAGAUGAAAAAUUAAAAAUGCACAUCAUUUCUUUUUUUCCUAAGCCUCUCAUAAAUACAAGCUUUACCAGAAGAAACUAAUAAUAAAAAGGUUCUCUUUUGCUCACACAUAAUAUGCCCUUAAUAGAACUGAAGCUGAAAAGUAUAUAUCACAAAGUUCAGAAAACCCACUGUUCUUCCAAGAAGAAAAGCAGA